rnacentral:ncRNA from 1 species
UAAAAGUUUUAUUCUGACUUAAAGUUUUGGUUAAAUUUGUUUUUACAUGUAAGUUUUGGCGUAAAAAAAGUGAUUCUUAAAUAGAUUUUUAUAAAAUUCGCAGUAGAUAAAUUUGAAUAUCAGCGUGAGCUGGAUUUGGAAAUAAUUUUUAGCAUAGGAAAAAUUUGUGCCAGCAUCCGCGGUUAUACAGGUUAUGCAACUAGGUUUUUUUGGGUACAGUUAACUUUAAAAUGGAAAUUUUAAUUUGAAGUUUAUUGAGUGAAAUUUUAAAUUUUAGUAAAAAUUGAUUUUUGUUAGUGAGGCUGGGAAAUUUUUAGGAUAAACUAGGAUUAGAGACCCUAUUAUUUAAAAUGUAAAUUUAAUUCUCAGAUUAUUAUUAGUUAUGUUCUUGAAAAUUAAAGAUUUUGGCGGUAUUUUAGUCCACUCAGAGGAACCUGUCCUGUAAUCGAUGAUCCACGAUUAAUUGAACUUUUUUUAGAAGUUUGUAUAUCGUCGUAGUUUGAAUAUUUUAAAAGAAUAAAAUGUUCAUGAUUCUGAAUAUAGAAAUAAAUCAGAUCAAGGUGUAGCUUAUGAAGAAGGAGAGAUGGGUUACAUUAAAUUUAUUUAGGGAUUAAUUUCUUGAAUAGAAUUAUGAAUUUGGAUUUGAAAGUAAUUUUAAUUUUAUAAUUAAAAUGAUUUAGGCUCUAGAAUAUGCACAUAUCGCCCGUCGCUUUCAUUCUAAUGUGAAAUAAGUCGUAACAAAGUAGGCUUACUGGAAGGUGGGCCUGGAAAGUC